AUUGAACGCUGGCGGCAUGCUUUACACAUGCAAGUCGAACGAGUGGCGAACGGGUGAGUAACGCCUGGGAACGUACCCGGUAAAGGGGGAUAACUGUUCGAAAGGGUAGCUAAUACCGCAUACUAUUCGAGCGGCCGAUGUCGGAUUAGCUAGUUGGUGGGGUAACGGCUCACCAAGGCGACGAUCAGUAGCUGGUCUGAGAGGAUGAUCAGCCACACUGGAACUGAGACACGGCCCAGACUCCUACGGGAGGCAGCAGUGGGGAAUUUUGGACAAUGGGCGCAAGCCUGAUCCAGCCAUGCCGCGUGUCUGAAGAAGGCCUUCGGGUUGUAAAGGACUUUUGUCAGGGAAGCGUUACCUGAAGAAUAAGCACCGGCUAACUACGUGCCAGCAGCCGCGGUAAUAC
rnacentral:rRNA from 1 species